GGCCGUGUGGCGAAACGGCAUCGCGUCUGACUACGAUACCGUCAUCAGGAGAUUGCAGGUUCGACCCCUGUCUCGGUCA